GUCUACAGCCAUACCACCCUGAACAUACCCUAUCUCGUCUGAUCUUGGAAGCUAAGCAGAGUUGCACCUGAUUUGUACUUGGAUGGGAGAUCGCCUGGGAAUAACUGGUGAGGUAGGCU
ensembl:rRNA 5S_rRNA 5S ribosomal RNA